CCAGGCUCAGUGGCCCAUGCGCUGUGGUCCCAGCUACUCGGGAGGGUGAGGCAAGAGGAUCAUUCUGGGCUGUAGUGCACUAUGCUGAUCAGGUGUCCGCAUUGAGUUUGGCAUCAAUACUGUGACCCCCUCAAGAGACAGGUACCACCAGGUUGCCGAAAGAGGGGUGAAGUGGCCCAGGUCAGAGAUAGAACAGGUCAAAACCCUGGUGCUGGUCAGUAGUGAGCUCUUGCCUGCGAGUAGCAUUCCAGGCUGGACAACACAGCAAGAACCCCAUUUCUU
rnacentral:SRP_RNA from 1 species